GCUGGGCACGGUGGCGUGCACCUGAAGUCCUAGCUACUCGGGAGACUCGGGAGGAUUGCUUGAGUCCAGGAGUUUUGGUCUGCAGUAUACUAUGUCAAAGGAUCAGGUGUCUGCACUAACUUUGGCAUCAAUAUGGUGACCUCCUCAGAGCGAGGGACCACCAGGUUGCCUAAGGAGGAAUGAACCAGCCCAGGUCAGAAACAGAGCAAGACAAAAUUCUUGGUGGGUCUGAGAUGAACAACAAAAUGUGUAACAUCCAACAAUGUGAAGUUAUUACUUCAAAAGGAACUGGUCAGAGUAGCCUUCUGUU
ensembl:misc_RNA Metazoa_SRP Metazoan signal recognition particle RNA